AAUAAAAGUUAUAAACAGUCCAUGAAUUCAAAAUAACUAUUUUAAUUAAUUAAAAACCAAAGAAAAAGAGGAGUUAAAGGACGGCCACAGGAAAGUUUUCGUUAUUUUUCUCGUUCUUUAAUUUACUGAACUGGAUUGAAUCCACCUAUUGCAGUUGAUCAGUUUUACUUUCAAAUUAAGUUGAUCCACUUCGAAACUGGACGUUUGCUGGUCUAUGUGCAAGUACACAGUAAAUAAAAACUCAAAUUUUUUUUUUUAUUAAACAACACCACAAUCUAAAUGCAAUAGCUAAAAUUUUCAUGAAUGAGUUGAAGAUUUUCUUAUGCCAGUUUCUUUCGUCAUCAGAAAUCGUUGUGUUAAGUUCAAAGGCAUCCUCCGAAAACCUCGACUAUCAACUGUAUAGAAAUUCUAUACAGAAACAAGACGGAGAAAAUCCUGUCGCUUCCCAUCUACAAAAUCAUAUGAUAUGCACAGAUCAGAUGGGGCUCCUACCAAUCCUCUGUUUCAAUCUAUUCAAUGGUGUCCCUGAACUGGAGCACCGAUUCACUGGCCCUCCCAUAAAGCUUUCAGGAACUCUACAAUUGGAAUUUCAAUCUUCUUCUUAAAACACAACGCUGUCAAGUUGAUGUAAUUUACCUUGAUAUGAAACAGAGUCCUUGAUAGCCGAAUAGUAGUAUCCUUCUGAUUCCUCCUGCCAGGCUGCCACCAACUAUACCCGCUCAAUUUUCAAGUUGGGUCUAUAAUUGGCUCCAUCAAAUUCAAAACCAAAACUCAUCAAUAAUUUACACCAACCAUCUUGAGAGAAACUUACCUCCUUAAACUGAACCGCAUUCAAACCAAUCGGUGAUUCAAUUUAACUAGCUUUAGCAUCUAAAAUCUCUCUGUCAAACAUCUGCGUAUAGAUAUUGCAAAUUUGCUCACCUGGUUAGGGUGGAAGAGGAUGGCACAUACUCCCAAACAAAGUGCAAAAGUAGCAAUUAAAAAUACUGUGGGGCGCGACUUCAGGACUCUGUUAGAAAAACAGAGACUAGAUGACUUGUUUGGACAUUCUUUGCUGAGCCUCACAUCCAUAACAACCUCUUUACUCAAAAGUGGAACCUUGUCACUUCUAACAACAGCAUAUAAGUUUGAAAUCACUCCCAACUUACCAUUUGAACUUCUUUCAAGAUCCUGCAAAAGAAAAUAACAUUAUGAACCCUCCUGGAAAUGAGGAAUAAGUACCAGCUGUUAAAACAAUAUGGAGAGGAAACACAAAUUUUCAGAUACUAAGAACGCAGACCACUAAAAAUCUCCUAAACAGAACACGCAUGGUAAAAAAAAGACAACACAAAGAUUCUAGAAAGCAGCAGCAGCAGUGUUGCUAAUUUAGCGAGAAGAAAAGGGGAGAAAAAGAGAGAAUGAAAAAGAAAACCUAUAUAAAAAGAAGCCAGACCAUGGAAAACAACUUCUUGAUUUCAGAAAACCGAACCGUAUUCCAAAUAACAAGAAAAUUCAUGAUGCUCAAAGAAAUCAACAGAGUCACACUGAUAAAUGAUCCAGGGGUUGAACUUUAAAAGAAAAUGUCUAGUUGGCUGAAAGCUUAAAGAAUAACCAGAGUUCCUUAUGAGUCUUGCUGUGUCAGAUAAUGUUUCCACAUCAUUUCACAAAGAUAACAGUAUCAACCACCUAAAUCUUCUCAUUUAUCCCCUGGAUGUAAAAAUAAAAAUAAACAAAUAACUCACCUCACUGGUGAAAAUGGCAGCAACUGAUGGCAUGCUACUUUCAUAACAUCUUCUAACAUCACUUUCGUCCACAGUAUAUUCCCAGUGGAUAGCUAAACCAUCACUCUUCUUAACCUUUUGAAGAAGAAUAUCACUGGCACUAUCCAUAUAUUUCUGUAAUAAAAACAUUUCAGAAUCACUAAUGCCAUAAGCUACCCUGUUUUUCUCCAUUUCAUCCAAUAUGAUUUUCAGAUUUUGUAAAAUUUUAUCCAAUGUGGCAGUUGAUUCAUGGUGUACCAAAAAAUUCAACAAAGAAUUGAGUCUUUGAAUCUGUGAAGACCUCGUGAUUUGGUGAAAGCUUUCUGACGAAGGCUUCUUUAAUAACCAUCCUAUAUCCACAACUAAUUCUGAAAAAGCCAUUUGUCUAUGUGCAGAAAACUCACACUGUGAACCACUUGACAGAUGAGAUGAAGCAAACCUCUGCUGAAUUAUUUUCAUUUCAGAACAAAUUUCUCCAUUCCCAACAAGUACAGGAAUGAAGUUUGAUAAUCCCCUCUCAUUUUCAACCUCAAUAAAUGCAGGACCAAAGAGAUUCGGUUCAACAUGAGGAAUAAAUAUCUUGCACAACUGAUGGUCAAGGCUGGAACAUCCUUCAGUGCGAUCAUGUGGUAAUACUAUGCAGUAAUCAUAUGCAAGGUAUUUCCCAGCAAAUGAUACCAGAAGCCUGAAUUUGGGUUGCAACAGAUUACUUCCACAAGCAACAAACUCUAUGGGCUUCCCAGCCUCAAAGCAUGUUGGAUGAACAUAGUGCAGUCUUGGGGCACGCCCUUCCAUGUUUACUUUUGUUACUGAAUGUCCAUCCUUCAUAACAUGGAAGAUCAUGUUGUUCAGAUAAACUAGCAUUGGGCUCCUCUUGGACAGCAUUUUUCCAGGAACGAUAACAAAAUCAUGCAAGUAUGACACAGGGUCUUCCAAUAACUUUGCCCACAUAAAUGUUGGCAUUGCAAGAAAUGCAGUCAAGAUGGUACAACCAGGGCGAAUAUAUCCCUCCAACUCAACUGGCAUACUGGCCAACCAUUCAAAUAUUUGGUGUCUAAGCCUUCUAGGGAAUUCUGCUGGAUUCCAAUCGUAAAGCUUGAAUGAGAUCCGACCUGUUGGGCACGCAGAUGAGUAAAAACUCUUAUUCUCACAAUUGAAAGGAGAAAGCGCAAAUCUGGAAUCGUCUUUUCCGCUAUCCUUUGGGGUUCCGACAGAUACACCACUAUCGCUAUUGACAUUUUGGGAAUUGGGAGCCGAGUGAAGGCCGGAAACUUUUCCAUCUUCAGAUUCAACCAAUGCUUCUUUCUCAACUAUCUGACAGUCUUUUUCAGCUUCACCAUCACAAGCAGCAUCUUCACUAAGCAACUCCCCUUGAGGUUCCUUGUCUACCGCUCCCUUGGAAUCAUGGGGCUUUCUUCGUCGUCUAUUGUUGUGACGCUCUAAUUUUCUUCUACAACUCCGUUUGCCUUCGUCAAAAUCUGACAGCAAGUGAAACUUCCCACACUGCUGACAGUAUCUCUUGUUCUCCCCAUCAAGUACAACAGCACUAGCAUUAGCGCAGCGUAAACAAACCCUGUGCCUCUUAUGAUACCCCUUAAGCUCGCUAAUAUCAGCCUCGCAGCCAGGCACCUGACACCGAGUAACACCAGUACUGGACCUAGUCGUUCGGACCCGCUUCUUCCCAGGCAUACCCUCUUCCUCUAACUUCUCGUCGAGCUCCGGGCACUCGCAGGGGACCCUGCCUGCCAGAAAAUUGGAGCAGGUCAACCUCGGGUCCCGCUUCCUAACCUUAUCUGGAUCUGGAGUUGCCUCAAUAGGAUCGACUUGCGAAACGAUAGUACUUGUGGUGUCGACAGAAUCGAAAGUUAUUGGGAAUUGAUCGUCUACGGUGAAGUCCAGUAGAUCUCCCCAGUCCCAGAUUGAAGACGAAGGAUCUUCAGCCACCGGUAGGUGAAUAUCCAUAUCGUCAAGCUUAGACCGACGAGAGUCAGGAGAAGGUGAAGAGGAUGGUUCCGUCAUGGAUGUGAAAGCCCUAGAUUUUUUAGGAUUGAAAACGUAGCUUUUACGAUACGAAACAGAGAAAGAUUCGUCCAGUGGUUGAACGGGUGGGUAAAGUUCGGUUGGUUUUUGGGCCAGUGGUCAGCCGGUGGUGGGUGGAGACGCGAAGUCGUCGUCGAAUGAUUAAUAAAAAAUGAGGUUAUCGUAGUGACACAAUACUCGAAUGUUGCUCAAAAAAAUGGGGAGCGGCAUGGAAAAAUGGGAGGUUGGCGGAGGUGGCGCGUAGGUGUGGCGAGUGAAGGAGGCGGAUGAAGCAUCAUUGUCAAGAAGAAAUGAUGGGUUCUUUCCCUACCUCCAACAAUAGCGGACAACAUAUUCACAGCUGGAAUCGCGCACGGUCUUUCGCCCACUUCAAAAGCUUUAUUAUAACGAGAAGCAGUAGAACCCAUUUUCCACUCCCAUGUUUUUCUUGUAAUAAUUUAUCAGAUUUUACCCGUAUUAU
rnacentral:misc_RNA from 1 species